GUGAUGAGACUGGUGUGAUGGAUAAUCUUCUAGAAGCCCUACAGUCAGGUGCAGCAUUCCGAGACCGCAGAAAGCGGAUUCCAAGGAAUCCAGAUAACAGACGAGUACCUUUGGAAAGGUCACGCUCUCGCCACAAUGGAGCUAUCCCAUCUAAGUGAUUCCUGAUGCCAAAGAAUAUGAAAAUAUUUAAGUAAACAAAAUCAUAUAUUUUGAAAAGAACAAAACAUGCACUCAAGGGUUGGAGAGGAAAUAAGUGCAUUUCUGCAGAGAUCAAGCUAAGCCGGAUGAAAUAGCGUGCAUUUGUAAAGCUAUUGCAAGAAUCCUUCUAAGAUUAUACUAAUAUGAACACAAUUAUCAGGAUUAUAAAACAUGUGUUCCAUUGUAGUGUAAAGAUGUGUGUUAUUUGUUAUUGUGCAUGACCUGAUGGUGAUGAUGAAAAGUGUAAGAAAUUCUAAGGCUUUCAAAAACAUUCAGUCUGUCAGAAAUUUACAAUGUUGCUCAAAUUUGCAGGUCACCCCCCCAAAAAAAAAGGAAGAAAAGGAAUAGAAAGAAAGAAUCACUCAAUGUCUGCUUUUGAUUCCUGUUAUAUAGAAAGGGAUAAGGCCAAUAAAAAUUAAAUGUGCGUGUUAAUAAUUUGGAGAGGCGCUAAUAUUGCACACUCCGUAAGAGAAAUCAUUUUGAAAACUCA